UACGUAGGUGGCAAGCGUUGUCCGGAUUUACUGGGCGUAAAGGGAGCGUAGGCGGAUACUUAAGUGGGAUGUGAAAUACCUGGGCUUAACUUGGGUGCUGCAUUCCAAACUGGGUGUCUAGAGUGUUGGAGAGGAAAGUGGAAUUCCUAGUGUAGCGGUGAAAUGCGUAGAGAUCAGGAAGAACACCAGUGGCGAAGGCGACUUUCUGGACAAUAACUGACGCCGAGGCUCGAAAGCGUGGGGAGCAAACAGGAUUAGAUACCCUGGUAGUCCACGCCGUAACGAUGGGUACUAGGUGUAGGAGGUAUCGACUCCUCCUGUGCCGCCGUUAACACAAUAAGUACCCCGCCUGGGGAGUACGGUCGCAAGAUUAAA
rnacentral:rRNA from 1 species